rnacentral:rRNA from 1 species
UAUCCUAGGCUUGACAUGUGCGAAAGCGCUGGGAAGUAGAAACCCGAAAGGGCAACCAACGGUAUCCAGUCCGGAACCCAGUACAGGUGCUGCAUGGCUGUCGUCAGCUCGUGUCGUGAGAUGUCGGGUUAAGUCCCAUAACGAGCGAAACCCUUGCUCCUAGUUGCCAGCGGGUCAUGCCGGGGACUCUAGGAGGACUGCCGGUGUUAAACCGGAGGAAGGUGGGGAUGACGUCAAGUCCUCAUGGCCUUUAUGCCUAGGGCUGCACACGUGCUACAAUGGCGUGAACAAAGGGACGCAAGACCGUAAGGUGGAGCAAAUCCCAAAAAACACGCCUCAGUUCAGAUUGAAGGCUGCAACUCGCCUUCAUGAAGUUGGAAUCGCUAGUAAUCGCAGGUCAGCAACACUGCGGUGAAUGCGUUCCUGAGCCUUGUACACACCGCCC